CUCUAAGUGGGAAGCAUGUAUCUGAGGCUCUGGGAUCCUUGAGAUGGCUAUCUUGACUCUCCAGCACCUACAGUAAUGUGAGGAAAGCCCUUCGUGGCCUCAGGCCCACUUCUGUUGCUACUGUUCUUGGGUAACCUUCCCACUGCUCCCAUCCUUUUCUUGAGGUCACUGUUUUCCAAUUGAAGUUCCAACGGGCAGCUUAUAUUGUAAGAACAAUAGAAAUAGUUUUCCAUAAAAAGUAACAGGCAGCAGCAGCAUUCUUCUCCCCUCCAUCCACACCCCUCCUAUGGCUUUAGAGUAAGAGACAGUCUCUUGACUGUCAGUGCUAGAACUGCUAGGGGUGAUUGGAUUGCCUGUGUGAAUGCAGAAUAUCACUUCCUUAUGAUGGAUCCACAAGAUAGUAGAUGGAGAUAAGCUUGUUCAUAAACU
rnacentral:lncRNA from 1 species